AGAGUUUGAUCCUGGCUCAGGAUGAACGCUGGCGGCGUGCUUAACACAUGCAAGUCGAACGGGCCAUAUUCGUAUGGUUAGUGGCAGACGGGUGCGUAACACGUGGGUGACCUGCCUCGGAGUGGGGAACAACUCCGCGAAAGCGGAGCUAAUACCGCAUAGGCUUGGCGAGUCGGAUCGCUGAGUAAAGGCGAAAGCUGCUUUGAGAUGGGCCUGCGGCGGAUUAGAUAGUUGGCAGGGUAAUGGCCUACCAAGUCGAUGAUCAGUAGCUGGUCUGAGAGGACAACCAGCCAGACGGGGACUGAGAUACGGCCCUGACUCCUACGGGAGGCAGCAGCAAGGAAUUUUGCGCAAUGGGCGAAAGCCUGACGCAGCGACGCCGCGUGGGGGAUGACGGCCUUCGGGUUGUAAACCCCUUUUCCCGAGGAAGAAAUAUGACGGUACUCGGGGAAUAAGUCUUGGCUAACUACGUGCCAGCAGCCGCGGUAAUACGUAGAAGGCGAACGUUAUCCGGAUUUACUGGGCGUAAAGAGGGUGUAGACGGUUCUUUAAGUCAGUUGUGAAAUCUCCUGACUCAAUUGGGAGACUGCAAUUGAUACUGGGGAGCUUGAGGGCAUCAGAAGAAAGCGGAAUUCACGGUGUAGCGGUGAAAUGCGUAGAUAUCGUGAGGAACACCAGUGGCGAAGGCGGCUUUCUAGGGUGCUCCUGACGUUGAGGCCCGAAAGUGUGGGGAGCGAAACGGAUUAGAUACCCGUGUAGUCCACACCCUAAACGUUGAAUACUAGGUAUAGGGGGUAUCGACCCUCUCUGUGCCGAAGCUAACGCUUUAAGUAUUCCGCCUGGGGACUACGGCCACAAGGCUAAAACUCAAAGGAAUUGACGG
rnacentral:rRNA from 1 species